rnacentral:tmRNA from 1 species
GGGGCUAUUCUGGAUUCGACGGGAUUUGCCGAAACCCAGGUGCAUGCCGAGGGCGGUUGGCUAUCGUAAAGCCGCAAAAAUGGUCGCAAACGACGAAACUACGCUAACAGCAAUAACCUGCUUAAGAGCCCUCUCCUAGCCUCCGCUCUUAGGACGGGGAUCAGAGAGUCAGAGCCAAAAGAAGAUAAGCGCGGAUGCCCUGCACGGGGUUGAAGCGUUAAAACGAAUCAGGCUAGUCUGGUAGUGGCGUGUCCGUCACGCAGGUGCCGGGCGAAUGUAAAGAACUUUGACUAAGCAUGUAGUACCGAGGAUGUGGAAUUUCCGGACGCGGGUUCAGCUCCCACGCCAGCUCCGCAA